ensembl:lncRNA
GCCACCAUGUGAAGUCGAUGUUUUUGUUGUCUUUCCAAAUUUUAUUCUAAUCAUAAUGAUAAGAGCCAGAUUAGGAUCUUACUUUAUAUAGUUUUACAUGUCACUUUUUAAAAACUUUAAUAUAUGUCAUGAGCAUUUCCCCAUUAACCAUACUUCAGAAGCACCUUUUCCAGUAGUGGUAUAAAAUUUCAUCGUUUGGCCAUUCCAAUGUCCAAUAUCCAAAAUGUCCAUACUCUCUAGAAAGGCAUUUUCAGCUUUCUACCAUUGUAACACAAUGACAAAGUGACAGGGAAGAACACUAUGGGCUUUGGUGUCCUGGAGAAGUGUAUUUAAAUUCCAGCUUUAUCAUUCUCUAGUUAGGUGCUCUUAGGUAAACAAGAUAACCUCUGAGUCCCAGUUCCUCAUUCUAAAGUGGGGAACUAAUAAGUCCCUUACAGAUUUGGACAUGCUGAGUUUGAAGUGAUUGUGCGAUAUCCAAGUAUAUACAGAUGGAGGGAGAGUUCUAGACUGAAAGUGUAGAUUUAAAAAAAAAAAAUCUAUUUUUCAGAGGACAUUUGAAGUCUUAGAAGGAGAUGAAAUCAGCCAGGAAGAGAGAGUAGAGAGAAAGGCAGGGAGCGAAGGAUUCGAAGUGAGCUGGGCCCACCAAUAUUUAGUGGGAGGGGGAGGGAAAGUGCAAAAGCCACGUGAUGAAGAAGAGAUGGUAGAGGGAUGAAACGAGAAGCAUGGAAAUAGUGUGGAGAAGCGGAGGGAAAUGUUUGCAGAAGAGAACAGAGACAGAGUGGUCAGAGAGGUAUAGUAAAAAGAAGAGACGGUUGGGGGUCAAGAAUGGAGGAAGGAGAGAUGCUGUCCAGUGCAGCAGUGAGGGGCACUAAGGCAAACACUGAAAACAACCAUUUGACUGGGUGACUAGGAGGCCUUUUGUCUCCUCGGCUGGAACAGUUUCCAUGCAGUGGAGGGUCAGAAGCUACAGAAGGAUGCACAAGAAUUGUGGAGUGUACUUUUAAAAGGUUUGUAUAAACAAGGAAGGAGAGGGGUGAAGAGAGAAGCUGGAGGGAAUCAAGGGAGGUUUUUUCUUUUUAAAUAUGUAAGAGACUUGAACAAGGCUGAGGGAAAGAAGAUGGUCAAGAGGGAGAAGAUACAGGCACAGGAAAGAAGGGGAGUCCAGUCAUUUGGGCAUUUCUUCAUUGAUUUAUUUGUUCAACAAAUGAGAAUAAAGUGCCUCCUAUGCGCAAAGAGCCAUUCCAUGGAUACAGCAAUGGUCAGGCAGUUUAGGUUGCUGCUUUCAUUGGGGGGGGUAUGUUAUACUUGGAGAAAAAGACAGUAAACCAUGAUGACAACACAAUAACACCAUCACGAGCAUAACUCAGGGAGCAAAUAUUUGAGAAUAAAAACUGUAUACCGAGCAUCAAAAUAGAUUCACUGUUUUGUAACGAGUGGUUACUUUGGAUCAGAUGUUCAGGAGUGGGCUAAGGAGGCAAUAUUGAAUCUGAGGCUCAUAUGACAAGAAGGAGACAGUUAUGCAAAGAUCAGCAGGAAGAGAUUUCAAGUCCGAGGAAGGGAUAGUGCAAUGGAUGAGCUCGGCAUGUCUGGCGCAACAAGAAGGUUGGAGUAACAGAGAUGGGGAAGAGUUGGAGAUGUGCUCAGAAAGGAAGGCUGAGGCUAGAUACUGAAGGACACUGGAGGCCACGGUUUUAUUCUAGGUGGGAUUAGAAGCCACCCACCGCAAGACAGUAAUAUGAUUACAUUUAUGUUUCAAAAGGAUCAUUCUGGCUGCUGUUAAAAUAUAAUUUAGUGGGGAGGAGCAGAAGAUGGGAACAGGUUAAGAAGUUAUAGCCAGAGUCAAAACAAGAGAUGGGGUGGCUUGGACUACAGUGGAGAUGACAAGAAAUGGAUGGAAUGAGGCCAUAUUUUGGAACAGAGCCAAAGGACAUGCUGAUGGAAUGGACAUGGAGAGGUGGUGUGUGAGGAAAUGAGGAACCAAUAAAGGCUCUUUGCUGGAGGACUUGAGUGGAUGGUGGGUUAUUUUAUUGAGGUGGAGAAGAGUAGGGUGUAUGUCUAACCAAGUCAAUUUACCUCAAUAAAGCUGAAAUAAAAAAAAAGAGUUCUGCCCUGGACGUGAUAAGAGGAUGACUGGUGGAGAGAUUAGUUGAAGGAAUAUUUCUUACCUACCUUAUCUCUAGCUUUUUAAUUACAGUUGUUUUCCCAAGGCUCCAAGGUACUGAAAGCAUGUAAAAGCCAUUUGGAGUAUCUACUUUUUGGCCUCGCCCACUGUUUCCUGUGCUCCUUUGUCCAUCCUUCUGCUCCCUGGUUCCAUACGCUGGCUUCUGACCCCGGUUCUGGAAAAUCACGUGUCCUUUCUCUAAUUUGUUACUCAGGUCCCCAUCUGAAUCUCUGCUCUGCAUACUUCCUUGAUCUCAUCAUUGGCUUCAACUUCAACAUCUUCCAUCAGUGACCCUGAAAGCCAUACGUUGGGAUGGCAACAUCCAAAGACGGUGGGACGCUGAGUGUUUGAGUUACCCCAUGGAGAAGAACUGCCCUGGAAUGUGAUGUGACCUGCAUUAGAAUUUACUUGGCAGAAAUAAAUCUUUGUUGCUUAAGCCACUGAGCUUUAGCGUUUUAUUUCUGCAGCCCGGCCUCGCCUACUGGAUUAAUGCAUCUGGCGAGCACAGCCCUGCAGGCUCUAACUCCAGCCCAUCUCUCCAAUGUGUUCACCUCCCUAGGCAUGUGGGACUCCUUUCACUUCCUCCAAAGUAUCGUGCUUUUGCUUGCCUUUGGUCAUUUCCCAUUUGCUGGGCAAUGUCUGCCUCUUCCUCCUCCUCCUUCCAGCAUAUGCACUUCGGCUAAAUCUUACUCAUCCUUCAGGUCACAAGCUAACCAUCACUUCCUCAGGGAAGCCGCCAUAACUUCCUUCAUCUCGCUCAUUGCACAUCACUGCAAUUACUUACAUUUAAACAGAUCUGUCAGCCUGCUAAGCUAUAAGCUUUGCCAGGGUGCAGACACUGUCCUUCUUAGGCAC